rnacentral:lncRNA from 1 species
GUGACCAGGAAGUGAGAGCCGAGAUGAGUCAAGCCCAGGCGGUGGCGUAAAGGUGACCGGGCAUCUGGGUUCCUCCUUUCCCGUCUCUGGGUCAGGGGUCCCUCCGCAGCUAGGAGCCAGGACCUCCAUUUACUCUUGUUAAUGUGGAAGGGGGUGUGUCUACAUUUGUAAGCGGCAGAGGAUUUUGCUGAGCCUCCUGCCCUUUCGCCGGGAGGCGGGUCCUUCUCUUAGCCUGGGGGUGAGGACUGGUGGGGUGGUCCUGAGUCCCUCCCCCUCCGAGCUGGCGCCUGUAAAAUUAAGGUCCUUCCUAGGCUGUGGGUGGUUAAAGUCACCACGGAAAGGGUGGUGAGGGAUGACGACGGUGAGAUUCGAGGACUCUGCCCUUCUCCUGAGGAGUUAGAGACCUCCAGCUGCAGUCAGAGGUAGUAGAAGGUGGAGGGGUCCUGGAAGCUAAAUUCCUGUAGUUAGGAAACUAGGGAAAAGAAUAGGUAGGAGAAGGAACGGGUGGAAAAAAAGCAUUUAUGUAGAGGUCCUAGUAGUUCUGAGUCUACUGUAGGGCUAGACGCGUUGGGUUUGGCCUCAGGCUCAAAAUCCCUUUCCCACCUCUGCGCCGUCAGCUUUUUGCCUUCAUUUCUUUCUCCUCAGGCUGGAGGAAACACCUGAACAUGUGGAAUCCCAAUGCCGGUAGGUGUUUGGGGAUCUCUUCUCUCACCCCCACCCCUUUUCAUAUGAAACCCACAACAGGAAGUUUUUGUGUCAGUUUUUCCUCCGCCUCUCUCCACCGCAAAAACAGUCCUUAAACCAUAGCUGACCAAUGGUCUUUCCUUAGAGUUCACGGUCUCCCUUUCCCCCCAGUCCUGUCAGUCCUUAACCUUUGUCUCCUGCGCAGCUUUGUCUCCCCUACGCCCCGUUCUCCUUCCUCACCUUUGCUUUUCCCUCUAAGUAUUGAGUGAGAAACGGUGUUUCUCACCUUCUUUUGUAGGCAUUUGUUGCCAGAGGGUCUGAGCAAUUCUGAUCUUAAUUUAUUCUUUGCUUCUUCCACCAGGACCACCAGGGCCAAAUCCAUAUCCUCCUAACCUUGGGUACCCUGGAGGUUCCAAUCCUGCCCACCCACCGCCUGUAAAUCCUGCCUAUCCUCCAGGCCCCUUUCCAACUCCUCCAGAAGCUCCCCAGGGGAAUCCAGCUUUUCCCCCAGGUGGGCCCCCUCAUCCUGUGCCACAACCAGGGUAUCCAGGAUGCCAACCCCUAGGUCCCUACCCACCUCCCUACCCACCACCUGCUCCUGGCAUGCCUCCUGUGAAUCCCUUGGCACCUGGCAUGGUAGCACCAGGAAUGGUGAUGGACAAGAAGAUGCGGAAGAAAAUGAAGAAAGCUCAUAAAAAGAUGCACAAACACCACAAACAUGGCAAGGUCAGUGCCCUCUGGAGUCUGGCUAGGAAGGGGUGCCCCCUCAGAGGGACUAGGCUGGCAGGAAUGGGUAAGGGGGAUUUGCAGUCUGAGGACGUGAAGCAGCCAUUAUAUGGCUCUGGUAGAUGGUUCUUCUUUGUAAAGGAUUCCCACUGGUAAGAAUCUGAUAAUCUUGGAAUAUUAGGCUAAUUGGACCUUCUAUCAGGGAAGGCUAGGUUGAGCCUUAGACAUAGAUAUUGGAAUCUAAAGCCCUUCCUGUCUGUCUUUCUCUGUCCCAGAACUUUUGCUCCCCCCCACCCCACCCCACCCCAGAUGCUUUUAGCAACUUAGAUACACCCACUUUCAGUGUUCACAAGGUGUUGUGCUAAUUACAUAGGCCUUUUUGUCCUACCACCCAGCAGGACUCUCAGUGACUCUCAGCCUCAGAUAAAAAUUUCGUGCACAGCCCCAAGGUGAAGUAUCUUCCUUCUAGAAGAGUGUUAAGCAGCAAAUAGCUCUCAGGACAACUCUGGAAGACAAAACCAACCUGGAUCUUGAGGAGGCCUUAGUUUACCUUUUUCUGCCUAGUGUUUAUUUAUUUGCCUUGGGGCUUUGGGCACUUACCUCCUGGAUCUAGGUCUUUGGUGGAAGCUUGAGGAGAAGGAAAGAUGAGAUUGAAUUGGGGGGAAAAAUUACCCCAGAGAGACUCAAAAGUGUUUUUGAUGACAGUUGAUGGGAGUACGCAUGUAAAGAAUCUUGACUAGUACUCUCUCCACCUUCUCUCCCACCUUCCUCACUUUCUCCCAUUUGGGGCUUAGGAAAAAGAAAAGAUAGUUGGGCACACAGCUGCUGUUUCUACUCACUUGUCUUAGAAUCAUAGCUACAAGAACUUUCCAUGUGACCAAUCAGUAAGCAUUUGUAAAGUAGCAGCUGUCUCUUAGCACUAUGUUAUGCUAGUGCCUGUAUUUAUUCCUUGACAAGGCAUUGAGUCAGGUAAAGAAAGUUGGAAAUAUGCUCCAAAUGCAAUAUUAAGUUCUGUGCAAUGAUUUAGGAAAGUUUAAUUCAUUCUUAUAUGUUCACUGCUGAAAGAAAUGUUUGCUUUUGCUGUUUAAGAGACAGUCUGUUUCAAAACUGCUGACCUUCUUAGGAAGCAAGGGGGUGCUGGGUGGAGGGGUAGAGCACCAAAGAAUGUCCCAUGGAGUGAUCAAUGGUCAUUGGAUCUGAUGCUGUCUCCUUUCCCCUUUCCCAUUACAGCAUUCCUCCUCCUCCUCCUCCUCUUCCAGCAGUGACUCUGACUGAAUACAGGGCCUGGACCCUUCCCUCAAGCCUCUCCAGUUCUGCUCUCCCAUCAAGCUUCAGAUGCCAUCUUGUUACUGGGGAAAAUUAGCUCUUGUGCCCUUCCUCGCUCACCUUCCCCCCCCCCCCAGCCCCUACAAUCUGAGCCUUCCUCUUCUGUUCAGCCCUAACUGGCUAGGGAAAAUGGGAAAAGAAUUCCCAUGGGCUAGCAAAGACCUUCUUCUCACUACUGGGAUAGAACUUUUAGCUGAUGAGUUUAGCAGGACUAUUUUUUGAGGAUGAUGAGACCUUUGAGCUAAGUGCUGAAGACAAGUUUAAGAUCUGUAAAAUGUGGUUUUGUAAUACUUGUAGUUGGGAGGUGUUGUGGAAAUUUAAUUACAGCAAAAAAGAAACUGUACUGUUUUUGUAAGGUGGCUGGCACACUUUGGUAAUUUAGUGGCAAAUACAUUUCCCAUCAGGCCUUUAUUGAUCGUACUAACUGGAAGGCUGCUGGGAGGUGGAGUCCAUUUGGAACCUAAUCUCACUCCUUAGCUUGGUAGGCUGGCUCAGGUCCUUCUUAUUCUCCAACUCUCAGUGCAAAUAAAGCUGUUUUUCCUUGUCUCUGUUCACCCGUGCCAUUACCUUGGUUGGGCCCAGCACAUUCUACCACUUUUGCUGCCCUUCCUUAGACCCUCCAAAGUGUAUCAGUUUUAUAUCCAGGAACUAGAGCAUCAGUGAAGAAGACGCCAUACUGUCUCUAUGUUUCUUAAGUGAGAAGAACCUUCAGAAUUGGUUCAGUCUACUGGUAUGAAUCUUUACUGUCUUCCCUUCAACGAACAGAAAUAGGUCUUUAGCUUAAGUUUUCAUAUCUGCUACAGAGGUUCUUAACCCUGGCUGCCCAUCAGCUAUCAGAAUGAUUUAGAGUUUUGCCCCAAAUCUAUUGAGUAAGACCCUCAAGGAUGGGGCCCUUUUCCCUGUCAGGAAAAGUGACAUUUCAACUGCCUCUUGGGCCUGGAGCAUGGAAAGGAUGAGUCGAAAAAAAAUGAAAGAGUGGAUUUUCCAAGUGGAGUGGGGAGAGGGGUUGGGAAAGGCAUGUGUGCUUAGGUACAGAGUCACAGAAUUCCAUAGCAUGUUUGGGAAUCACAGGUCUCCCAGUGGGACUAGAUUGGUUUCCUGGAAAAUUGUUUAUUGAGGAAAUACUGUGUUCUGGGUGCUGAAGCUACAGUUCCUGCCUUUCAUGAUUCGCAAGAUCUAAUGGAACAGAUGGACACGUAAAUAGGUUAUUAUAAUACAGUAAAAAGGACCACAAUAGAGACAUGGACCAAGCAGUGAGAGAACAAAGGAAGGAGUGACAGUGCCACUGGGAAAAUGAACUAGAUCCAGGCUGAGCCUCAGAAAAAGUAGGAGUUGCCCAGCUGGUAAAAAGUACCAGCUAACACUGAGCAUUUAUUGUGUGCCUUAUGUUUAUAACUUCUAGAAUCUUCACAGCAACUCUAUGAGGUAGGUACCAUUGUUCCCAUUUUGUAAGUAAAGAAAACUGACGUAGGAAGUGGUUCUGUCAGGAUUCAAACUCAGGCAGUCUGGCUCCUGAGUCUGUACUCUUAACCCAAUGGAUUCCAAGCAGAAGAAACAGUUUUAUAGAGGCACAGAGUUGUAAAAAGGGGUAGGAUGAGGGAUGCCUGGGUGGCUCGAUCAGCUGAGUGUCCAACCCUUAAUUUGGGCUCAGGUCAUUAUCUCAUGGUUGUGGGACUGAGCUCUGAGUUGGGCUCUGUGCUCACAGAGCCUGUGAGCACAGAGCCUGCUUGGGAUUCUCUUUCUCCCUCUCUCUCUGCCUCUUCUCCAUGGUUGCUCUCUGCCAUCUCUCUGUCAAAGUAAAGAAACAUUAAAAAAAAAAUGGGGGUAGAAUGAAAGUUUAGUUCUUGAGCCUGAGUCACCAUGCAGGAAAUGAGGGGCAGAGAGCCCCUCAUUUAGAGGGAGAGAGCAUGUGCAUGCACAGGAGAGGGGCAGAGAGAGAAGGAGAGAGAGGAUCCUAAGCCUCAGCGUGGAGCCUGACUCGGGGCUCGAUCCCAUGAUCCUAGGAUCAUGACCUGAGCUGAAAUCAAGUUUUCAGUAUUCAUCAGCUCUUCUUUUUUGAGGAGAAGGGAGAUAUGGACACAGGGGGGUUGUGGGGUGAAGAGAAACAGAUGUUGACAAACUAGAAAUGAGGAGAAACACAGCAGUGGCUAGAAGGGGAAAACACAAAAAGAAAUUGUGAAAUUAGGAAACUCACUGACUCCUUUUCUCUCCCACUCUUUCUCUUUUUUUUUUUUUUAAAUGUUUAUUUAUUUUGAGAAAGAGCAUGAACGGAGGAGGGGCAGAGAGACACAGAAUCGAAAGCAGGCUCCAAGCUCUGAGCUGUCAGCACAGAGCCUGAUGGGACCUGAACCUAUGAACCAUGAGAUCAUGACCUGAGCUGAAGUUGCACACUUAACAGACUGAGCCACCAGGCACCCCACUGUUAUUGGUUUUUUUUUUUUACAUUUAUUUAUUUUUGAAAGACAGAGUGAGACAGAGCACAAGUGGAGGAGGGGCAGAGAGAGAAGGAGACACAGAAUCUGAACAGGUUCCAGGCUCUGAGCAAGAGUUCAGCACAGAGCCCAAUGCGGGCCCGAACCCACAAACCAUGAGAUCAUGACCUGAGCCGAAGUCGGACACUUAACCAACGGAGCCACACAGGCGCCCCAACACCCCACUAUUUUUUAAUGUUUAUUUAUUUUAUUAAAAAAAUUUUUUUAACGUUUAUUCAUUUUUGAGAGACAGAUUGCGAGUAGGGGAGGGGCAGAGAGAGAGGGAGACACAGAAUCCCAAGCAGGUUCCAGAACCUGAGCUGUCAUCACAGAGCCCCACCUAGGGCUCGAACUCACAAAUCACGAGAUCAUGACCUUAGCUGAAGUCAGACACUUAACCAACUGAGCCACCCAGGGGCCCCUAAUGUUUAUUUUUGAGGGAGAGAGAGAGAGAGUGCUAGUGGGGAAGGGACAGAGAGAGAGGGAGACAGAGGAUCUGAAGCCCAAUGCGGUGCUCAAAUCCAUGAACCAUGAGAUCAUGACCUGAGCCGAAGUUGGAGGCUUAACCGAUGGAACCGUUCAGGUGCCCCCUUUCUCCCCACUCUUUUUUUUUUAAUUUUUUUUUUUUUUAGCAUUUAUUUAUUUUUGAGACAGAGAGAGAUAGAGCAUGAACAGGGGAGGGGCAGAGAGAGAGGGAGACACAGAAUCGGAAGCAGGCUCCAGGCUCUGAGCCAUCAGCCCAGAGCCCGAUGCGGGGCUUGAACUCACGGACCGCGAGAUCGUGACCCGAGCUGAAGUCGGACGCUCAACCGACUGAGCCACCCAGGUGCCCCCCUUUCUCCCCACUCUUAACCAUGGAGAGCACAUCUCCCCAUCCUGGCAUUUCUAAGCCAUAUGCACAGUGCCUUACUAUUGUUUUGUUAUUUCUCAAAAAUUUAUCAACUUUUUAAAAAGUUUGUUUUGAGAGAGAGAGAGAGCAUGGGAGGGGCAGAGAGAGAGGGAGAGAGAGAGAGAGAGAAUCCCAAGCAGGCUCUCAGCUCAGAGCCUCAUGUGGGGCUCAAUCCGAAUGAACUGUGAUAUUACGACCUAAGCCGAAAUCAGGAGUUGGAUGCUUAACUGACUGAGCCACUGAGGUGUUCCUCAAAUUUACUAACUUUUUAAAAGCUGAAAGCAAUACAUGUACUUGAGAAAAAGAUUGUAACUUUUUUGUUUUAUCUUUUAAAAUUGAUUUAUUUUUUUAAAGUAAGUUCUAUGCCCAGCCUGGGACCGGAACUCAUGACCCAGAGAUCAAAAGUUGCAUGCCCCACCAACUGAGCCAGCCAGGGCCCCCAGAUUGUAACAUUUUUGAAAAAAUGUUUAUUUGUUUUUGAGAGAGAGUGUGAGCAGGGAGGGCAAAGAGAGAGAGGGGCACAGAGUAUCUAAAGCAGGCUCCAUGCUGAGAGCACAGAGAGCACAGAGCCGAAUACAGGGCUUAAACUCACAAACCCACAAACAGUGACCUGAGCUGAAGUUGGAUACUUAACCAACUGACCCACCCAGGUGCCCCCAGAUUGUAACAUUUUUAAUAGGAAAUUGAGUGAAAAGAUUCUCCUCUCUUCUCAGAGAAAGAGCCAAUCACAACUACCAGAUACUUCUGUAAACUUCCAGAGCUAUUCUGUGUACAGUCAAGUGCCCCCCUUUUAUUACAUCAUUCCUAUUUUCCUCCUCCCCAUUUUAUAUGGGAGCAUACUCUAUGCCCUCUUUUGGACCUAACUUUUUCUCAUUUAACCGUCUGUCUCGGAGUUGAUUCCAUCUGUGUGUAUGUGCAUGCAUGUGUGGAAGUGUGCUAGUGAAUACAACCUUGUUUUUAACACCAUUCAAUUUAUCCAAUCUUUUAUUGUUGGAAUUUUAUAUUGCUUCCAGUCUUGCUAUACACUUAACUGCUACAGUGAACAUUUUGGUACAUUUAUCUUAAACCGAGGUUGAGAGAUGCCUGGGUGGCUCAGUCAGUUGAGUGUCUGACUCUUGAUUUCAGCUCAGCUCAUGAUCUCAAGGUUCGUAGAGUUAGAGUCCCACGUCGGGCUCACACUGACUGUGCUGAGCCUGCUUGGGAUUCUCUGUCUCUCCCUUUCUCUCUGCUCCUCCUGCACUCACUCUCUCUCAAAAUAAACUAAAACAAAACAAAACAAAAAGCAAAAACAACUGAGGUUGAAAAGUCAGAUGCCCAUGGCUAUAUCUGGCUAUGAGUCUGUCCAUCCGUCUGUCUGUCUGUCUCUUUUUCUUUUUCUUUUUGUGGAGAGCCCAUUCUGUGCUAAAUAUCAGACUCUCCCCCACCCCCCAAGUAGGCUCCAUGCCCAACGUAGGGCUUGAUCUCACAACUCUGAGAUCAAGAGUUGGAUAUUCUACAGACUGAACCACCCAGGUGUCCCCAGACAUUUUCAAUAAAGAUUUAGAUUUCAAGCUAGAAAGUCUAGCAACAGUGGGUCCUCAUUCCUGAAGGCAGAAAAUCUGGCCUCGAGUAGUGGUCAUUCCUUAUAGGUGGAUCCUGUGCACUCCAGUCUUCUCAUUGCAACUUCCUGUUGCCUUCUUUCUCCCAAUUACAUAACUUGCCUGUCCCCUGAGAGCAUUGGGUUUGCGCCAUAUUUUGUGCAAUGAUAUAAAGCACUAAAGAUGGUGGUUCUCAAAUGUGUUUAUCUUAUGACUUCACCACCUUGUGUCCACCAGGGGAAUCCGGGAUUCUGCCAUUCUCUUCCUACUAUAAACAAAGUAUAGCAAGGUUUCCACACAAUUGACAAUGGGAAAGGAUAGGAAACCCAUGGGAUCUAAAAUACAAAUUGAGGGCCACCUGGGUGGCUCAGUUGGUUAAGCAUUCAACUUUGGCUCAGGUCAUGAUCUCAUGGUUCAUGGGUUUGAGCUCCGCAUAAGGCUCUCUGCUUUCCGUGCAGAGCCCACUUCGAAUCCUCUGUCUCCUUUGCUCUCUGCCCCUUCCCCACUCAUGCUCUUUCUCUCAAAGAUAAAUAUUUUUAAAAAAUCAUUUUAAAAAUCUCUUUAAAAAAAUAAAAUACACAUUGACACUUUAGGGGCGCCUGGGCGGCUCAUUUGGUUAAGUGUCUGACUCCAGCUCAGGUCAUGAUCUCACGGUUCAUGAGUUCGUGCCCCUUGUUGGGCUCUGUGCUGACAACUGAGAGCCUGGAGCCUGCUUCAGAUUCUGUGUCUCCUUCUAUCUCUGCCCCUCCCCUGCUCACGCUCUGUCUCUGUCUCUCUGUCUCAAAAAAUAAACAUUAAAAAAAAAUAUUUAAAAAAAUGUCACUUUAGCUUUGGGGGAUUGCCAGUCAUGGGAUGAGUCUUUAGUUUGCUGUCUUUUUGGAAUCAUCUGCCUAUAUCAGGUCGUUUUGUAGCUCAAGGCAAACUCACUCUCUUCUUUCCCUUUCUGAGAGAAAAUUAUUGAUUCGUAAAAUUAUUAGGUAUUGCCAUUAAAUGCAUCUCAUUUUUCUCUUUCAAAGCUGACUGCAACUGUUGCCCAGUCCUAGGAGAAGCCAUACUAAGGAUGAUGUUAUUUUAUCAACUUGUAUUUGAUCUUUGUUUUGCCUUCCACAUCAGAGAUGACUGCUUGAAUAGCCACUCACUUUCACCCCAGCUCACAGGGUCCCUGGAAUAUAAAUGACCCUAAUGCAAAAUCUUGAGGUUAAUCUGACCUUCUGCCUGGGCCUCUCAGUAAGCCUGUUCCUUAGUUUGAUUUGAAAUGUUACUGUCCUGGGAACCUGGCUGGCUCAGUUGGAAUAGCAUGUGACUCUUGAUCUUGGGAUUGUGAGUUUAAGCCCCACACUGGAUGUAGAGAUUACUUAAAUGAAUAAAACUUAAAAAAAAUUUUUUUUGAAAUGUUAUGUCCUAACAUUUUCUUGUUUUCCUUUCCUCUCAGUAUUUGGUCUGCCCCUUGCCUUUGCAAGUACAGACUUCUUUUUAUUUCCUUUCUUUAAAUGUUUUAUUUAUUUUUGAGAGAGAGAGCCUGAGCGAGAGCAGGGGAGGGACAGAGACAGAGGGGAAUAGAGGAUCUGAAGCUGACUCUGUGCCUACAGCAGUGAGCCCGACAUGGAGCUCCAACUCACAAACUGUGAGAUCAUGACCUGACGCUUAACCAGUUGUGCCACCCAGGCUCCCCACUUCUUUUUAUUUCUAUCUCACAUUGUUUCUAAUGUCCCCCGCCCCCAAGGCACUGGAAUACCCAAGCUGUAUUUUCCACUUUGGAAGGCUGUUCUUCUUCAGAUGACUCCAUUGAAUUGGGGUUGCCCAAUAAAAUAAACUUACUAAUAUUAAGGCCAGAACUGACAUCUAAAGGACUUGAACGAGGUUUGCUCUCUCUUAUUUCCUUCUCUUAUUUUGUCUUAUUCCCUGCCAGAGCUCUUCUCUGUUUUGUUUUGUUUUUCAUAGAAAGUUUCAACAUGGAAAUUUAUAGACAUACACAGAGAAAGCAGUUUAAUGAACUCCUAUAUUCCCAUCACCUAGCCUCAGUAAUUAUCAACAUUUUGCCAAUCUUGUUCCAUUCCACGUCAUAUUGUUUCCAAUUUUUAUUAUAAAAAUUAUCUCUUAAAAGUUUACAAACAGUACAGUGAUUAUCCAUAAACAUACCACUCAUACUAAACAAUUGGUAACAUUUUCCCAUAUUUGCUUCAAUUUGAAAGUCUGUUGCAUACAUCAUGACCCAUGCUCAAUAAAUACUUCAUCAUGCACCUUCUAAACAGCAUUUCUCCUACAUAACCACAAUUCCAUGAUCACACUCAAGAAGAUUAAAAAUACUUCCUAAUAUUAGCUAAUAUUCAGUUUGUUUGAAUUUCCUCAGUUGUCCCCCAAAUGUCUUAUGUAGCUAUUGAAAAACAAGCAAACAAACAAGAUCUGAUCCAUACCUUAUAUUUGUUAUUUCCUUUUAAAUUUCUUUUCUUUCACCUCUUCCUCCUUCUUUUCUAUUACAUUGCCUUAUUAAAGAACCUGAGGUAGUUGUCUUGCAAACUGUCCAACAUUCUGAAUUUGCUGAUUAUCUUUUUGCAGUGUGAGGUAUAUAACUUACUCCUUUAUUCCUCAUACAUUUUCUGUAUGUUGCAAAUUAGUGGUAAAGGUUGAUUAGAUUAAGCGCUUUUGACAAGAAUAUUUAAUAGAUAAUGCUAUGUAUUUAUUGUAUCUCAUCAAGGACCACAUAAUGUCAACGGGUAUCCUGCGAUUAGUGAUACAAAGUUUGAUCACUUGAAUAAGAUGGUGAUUAUCAGAUACCUCCAUUUUAGAUUACUUCCCCUCCCCCCCCCGUGCGAUUUGUCAAUUAUGUGUGUGGUGAUAUUUGGCCCCAUAAUAUCCUGCUCCCCUAACAGCUUUUCACUUAAAGUUUUGAUGUUUGAUGAGACUGGCCUGAAUGAAUUAUUUCAUUUUGGGUUGCAGAAUGAAUGGUGAUUUUCUAACUCUUUCAUUCUUUCUACAUUUAUUAAAUGGAACUCUUAAAAGAGUUUUCCCUUAACGGAUGAAUUACAUUCUUCCUAAGAGAGAGUAAAUGCUUAAUUCUUUGCUUUUAGUUACUAAUUUUCAGAGUAAGGAACUAGUGUAAAAGUUGCCUUCAAUGUGGCAAAUUAGUUUUUUUAAAUCUUUCUUUUAUUUAAGUAUCACUAUAGACUACUGGGUUUUUCCCGUCUCUUCUCAUUCUCUUCACCCAUCCCUUUUCCCUCUUGUCUCCCUUUAUCCAUGGCGACUGCCAACUCUCUCCGUACGCACGCCUGGGAUUUCCAAUCUUUCCGCUAGAGGCCACUAACUUCCUCCCUGUUCUUACGCUGCCGCUCUAUCAUAGACUUAGCCAUCGGCUACAAGGUAUUGUCUCGUUGGUGCCGACGCUGUCCACGGAGCCGCUCUAGGCUGUAGGGAGGCCGUCCGCAUUGCGUGGGGAAGGUUUGGACGACGCAGUCGCCUCGCCGGCCCCCGGGGCGGUUAGCGCUUCCGGGGUCGGAGGGUGCGCGGGGUUGAAAGCGGGCCGCUCCGCCCCGUCCCCCUCCCAGACCAGCAGAGGCAGCAGCCGGAGCAGCCGCAGCCUGCGCCCUCUCCCGCCCGCCCGCCCUCCGCCCGCCCGCCCGCCCUCCGCCGCCCUCCACCCGCCCCGGGGUCUCUUUCCCCCUUCCUCCUCCUCCUCCUCCACCCCCCCCUUCCUCCUCCGCCCGCCCGCGGGGCCCCCCUCGCCUUCCCGCCCGCCCCUAUUGUUCCGCCCCCGGCCUCCCGCCCUUCCCCUUCCCGCCCGCUCCCCUUUUCCCCUCAGUCGCCUCGCGCCUGCAGGUAAGCUUCAAAAUUCUCCCUCCGCCCCCGGCUAUAGCUUUCUUUCCACUCUUGCCAUCUUUCUCUGCGGGCUCCGGUCCUCGUCACGAGCCCCGGCCUCGCGUAGUACCGCGUGAGCGCCUACCCCCUCAGUCUGCCUGGCCGGCCAUUCACGCGAGGCCCUGGCUCAGACGCGGCCUAGUAGGCCUCGCACAAGGCCUACCCCCCUCCCCCCGCCUUUUCCCGGUGGCGGCUGCGCAGGAGUCAAGGAGGGCGCGCGCGCGGUAGGGGGGGGCGGCGGUGGAUUUGUUGGUUGAAGGGGGUUGGGGGAGGCGAUGGCCGGCUUGCUGGCCGGGCGGGUGAGCGCGGCUCCCCGCGGGGGUCAGGCGCUGGCGCAGCCACACGAGGAGGCGCUACUAGCCCGGCCCCUCCCCCUGGAUCGCAGCGCCCCCCCCCGACCGAACCGUUUAUUUUUUUUCCCUUCUCUCUUUUCUAGUGGAGGGAUGGGGGGGGGCAUUUUUUAAUUGGAAAAUGCUUGGAUGACCGAGGGGAGGGGGGCUGCGGAGUUAAAGAAAGGGUAAACGGGCUCCCAGUUACCGAGUUAUUCAGGACGUUUUCUCGGGGUAACGAAUUUUGAAAUUACAAAAUGCCUGCCCGUAUAGACCCAGGCCGAGCUAUUUAUAGGAGAAGGGGUAAUGGACUGCAGGAUUAACAGCUGGAUUUCUGGGAUUGGGUACAUUUAUAUUAACCUAGGCGGGAGAGAAAUGACAGGGAUUCUUGGAUGUUUGGAGUUAGAAAUGCACGUCUGUGCCUUAAUCAAGAAAUGGCUUUCUAAUAGGUUUUUCAGUGUUCCUGCUCUUUUGGACUUGUGUUACUGUGGUAUUUGAAAGUGAUUCCAGUUACAUUUGAGUGGAGAUAAAGAGUUAAACUGCCAGUUUUUUUUUUUUUUUUUAGCCAUAGCUUGUUAAAAAGUCAUUCUUAAAGACGUAACGGUCUCCCUCGCCCCCCCCCCCCCCCCCCCCCCCCCAGCACUGUUGUUUUUCCCUGAGUGAAAAGUGUUGAAUUCUGGGAUUUUGCCAACAGUUCUAUUUUGACAAUGGGGCAAUGAGGUGCCUUGGGGAUGCAAAGUCUGUCUUUUUAAUAAUCAUAUUUUGGAGGUAACCACAAGGCAGUUUGCCAUAUACAGAAUGAUCUGGCAGCAUCUUAAACAUUUUAAGUGUUUAGGGGAUGAGCUUUGUGUUGGAACAAAGUUAAAACAGUGGCUGGUUUGUGAAGGGGGAAACUUAGCUGAAGAAGAGAUCAUUGAUGUUGACUUUUGAAGGGAUGGUUGCUAAAAAUGUCACUGGUGAAAUUUAUCAACUUUGGAGAACCUUUUUAAAGCUAAUGCUAUUAGGUCCUAAGGUAUCAUAGGAAAAGGUAUAUUCACAAACAGAUUCUCUUUCUACGUUUGGUUAGUUAUUCCAAGACAGAAAUGUUAGGAAUAUUGUUUCAGAUGAUGGGUGGGGAAAGAGCUUUCUCUGUAGGAAAGGUUUAUUCCUGCUGUUGCUUAAGACAACUAUACAAUAAAUAUUUAGCAGUAGUUUUAUUUUCAUUGUUUUCUUUGGAAGAAAAUUUAAGAUUUAAUAGAUUUGAAUAAAGGUGGAGUGGUAACAAAGAUUAAUACGCAGAAGCAAGGCAGAUUUUCAAAUACGAUUAUCAAGUUGGGUCAGGAGAGGGGAUGGGAGAAAGGACUCAGGAUGUACUUAAUGUAUUGAGCCUUUUCCCAAAGGGGAAUAAGGAAUCCCAGCCUUCAUAGAAGGCUUUUCAGAUAGUGCCAUUUUCAGUGAGGUUGUUGAUUUAAAUCUUAUUAAAAUUAUUUGGUGUCAUCUAUCAACAUUUGAAAUUGUAAUGUGAGCUACCUCUAAAUUUUUUUUUUUUUAUCUAGAAAUUGCUGCAAGUAAGAAAACUUAAUGUGUCCUUUCUUGCUCUCAACCUGAGCGUGCUACUUAACAGGGAAGCAAAAGGUCAUCUGUCUGUCUGUAGUUGAUUAGUUUGAGGUCUGGCCUCAUGAUUUCCAGGUGUUUCUGUAUCCUGUCGAAUCUUAUUCUGUUGAAGGACAACUGGUGCACGUUCAGCAGUUCCUUUGCAACCAUUGCGGAUUGAAGGAAUCUUCCUCCUCCUCAGAGUCAGCGGAAACCUUACCAUUAAGGACAGCAGACUGAAGAGUCUCUUUCCAUACUCUAUCAGAACCUGAGCUGUAAAUGGUUGUCAUUAGUGCAGUUGUGCUGGGUGUAUACAAGCUUCCCAAUGGAUAGGCUGUCAUAUAAGGAAAAGAGUCAAAAAACAUUUGUAACAGUGAAAAUGACUCUGGGAGCUAUUUCUCCUAUUGUUUUCCCCCUCUGAUUUUGGUCAUGUUUGCAUUUCAGUUUUUGGCUUCACCCCCACCAGUGACCAAAGACUUGACCACUCAAAGUCCAGCUCCCCAGAACACUGCUCGACAUGGACACCGGUGUGAUUGAAGGUGGAUUAAAUGUCACUCUCACCAUCCGGCUACUUAUGCAUGGAAAGGUAUGCACCAGCUUGGGAAAUUGGGUCAUAGUAACUGCUCGGGGAGAGGCCAGGAAGAGAGGGCAUGCAUCUUGGAGCUCAUCAGAUUAGCACUGUGGGGCAUCUGGCUUUAGCAGUCUUCUCUAUCAGAGUAGAUGAGAGUGUAGUGGGAAAAUGGACAGACUUUAGUAGGAAGCUCCACUGAGCAGGAAAGGCUUAACUAGAGGAUGGAGCCAGAGACUCUCAUACCUGGAUAAUAAGAUUUUCCUCAUCGAGGUUGGUGUAGCUUGUGAUAAAUAGAUAAUCUCUGCCAAGACAAUUUUGGGAAACUAUACAGAUUUGGUACUUCAAUAAAUAAGUUAUGUUAAACACAGAAUAGUAUUUGAUUAUUUCUGAAUCAUUAUUCCUUCAGUAUUCUUUGGUACCUUCAGUUAUGUUUUGAGCAAAGAAGAGAGUAAGCCUCCCUACUCCUCUUCCUAAUAAAUCUGAGUUUUUCCAUUGUUUUGGACAGUUAAAAAUUCCUUUUUAUGAUAUGAACACUUGAGUUUCCUCUUAUUUGACGCUAGUUUUCUCCAUUGCAGGAAGUUGGCAGUAUCAUCGGAAAGGUAAGACUGUUUCACUUCAACUCUAAUUACUAUUUAGUUAGUCUUGGUUGAAACAGCAGUUGGAGCUCAUUCUUGACUUUUCCUCUUACAGAAAGGAGAAUCAGUUAAGAAGAUGCGUGAGGAGGUGAGUUAUAGGGGGGUGGGAUGGGGGGGGCUAGUUUAAGGGUUGUUAAAAGCCCUUAAAGGCAAAAUUUUUAUUUAAUGAGCAAUUAGAAGGAAUCAAUAGGAGAAUCUGGUGUUUUUUUGGCCUGGUUAUUUGUAAUCACAUAAUAUGCUGGGAAAUGUAGUUCCAGUAAGCCUCAAUUCAUUCAAGCUUUAAGGCAGCUUCUGUAGUGUUGAGGGCAAACAUGAGCAAUGUUUGAAAUCCGAAAUUGGCUUGUGUUAAGAUCAUGCAUAUAGGUAGCUUCCUUGGUCAUCUUAUUUGGGAGGGGCUGUGUAAUCUGUAUAUGCUCAGACCUUUUUGUCUGUUAACCUCUUGGCUUUGUUUUUUUAAUCCAGAGUGGUGCACGUAUCAACAUCUCAGAAGGGAAUUGUCCUGAGAGAAUUAUCACUUUGGCUGGACCCACUAAUGCCAUCUUCAAAGCCUUUGCUAUGAUCAUUGACAAACUGGAAGAGGUUCGUUUUCACUCAUUCCCCCCCGAAUCUUCAUUUUAAAGUGCUUCUAGAUAGCUUAGUGAUUUUUCUUUUUCUUUUUUUUUUUUUUUCAACGUUUAUUUAUUUUUGGGACAGAGAGAGACAGAGCAUGAACGGGGGAGGGGCAGAGAGAGAGGGAGACACAGAAUCCGAAACAGGCUCCAGGCUCUGAGCCAUCAGCCCAGAGCCUGACGCGGGGCUCGAACUCACGGACCGCGAGAUCGUGACCUGGCUGAAGUCGGACGCUUAACCGACUGCGCCACCCAGGCGCCCCUAGCUUAGUGAUUUUUCUAAGAGCUUUCUAAAUUGAAGGCCAGACUGGAUCAUAAAUCUGUAAAUGGGUCCUUUACAAACCUUCUCUUCAGUGUUCCCAAAAUUUAACUGUAAGUCACUUGAAUCAUUAAAAGGACUAGCUUGACUAUUACUGAGGACUCAAUGUAAAAAAAAAAAAAAAAGUGUGAAAACCCAUUUUUUAUUUUUAUUUUUUGACCAGUAGUUUUGAAGGUAUGAUGGUAUUGCAUUGGUAAACUUCACGUCCUCUAAUUUAUAGUUGAAUGAACUUAAAUAAAUGUGCUUUUGUUAGGUGCCCUGAUGAACACUAAUACAUGCCAUAAAUAACAUAUCUUUCAACCUUGGAUGCAGUUGGGAUUUUUAAGAAAUUCAGUCUGAUAACUUUGUGUCAGAGCUAUACUUGGAGGAAGAGAAUAUGUUUUAUAGGUUUUCAGAAGAAAAUUAUCAAUGCCAGAAGUUUUUUGGCAGAAGGAAGUUUUGUUUUUGUUUCUUUUGUUCACCAAGAUCCCUCAACCUUCAGAUACUCUACAACCAUUGCCCUACGUCUUCAGCCUCCUCCCCCUCUUCAGUAAUGCUGCUAAUCAUGCAUUUGACACCACAGGCAGAGGAGAGCUAUUGGCUGCUGCUUGGUUGGUGGUUGGAUACUUAAUGGUGCCUGAAAUUUUAUCCUGGCCAAGAUCAGAAAUGUUAUCUUUUGACCUGCAAGGCCCUGCUAAUCCAGAGCUUGAAGCUUAAAAAACAUUCAGAAAAUUUAUUUGUACUUUAACAUGUCCUUGACUUCAGGGGCUUAUGUUUAAGCACUUUUCAGGUCUAGCUACUACAUAGAGAUUAGGCUGAGAAGUGAUGUUUAAACCACUUAAUCUUCAGAGGGCUAAAUUUAACUAGGUUAAAACCAUGACUUUUUGGAAGUAGCAUAUUAUGGGAAAGACAGUGGGCUUUGGAGCCAAUACAGUCUUUUAAUUUCAAAUCUACAGCUUUUUAGAUGUGAUUGGGACGAGUACUUGGCCUCAGUUUCAUUGUUUGUAUAAUGGUGAUUUUACCAAGAAAUUAAAACAAAUAGAAACACUUGCUUAAUCUUUCUAAUUUUUCUAAGAGAACAGAAUUGGUUAUUUGAAUUUGGGGUUGCAUUGUUUCAUCUGAAUGUUUUAAUUUUGACUUUGAUAUUGUUUCCCUUUAUAGUCAAUUCUGAUUUCCAAAACAAACAGUCACUUUUCUUCCUCCAUGAAAGAAACUGUAUUUAGGGAUAAUCAGAGGAAGUUUAUAGGUGUUUUUAUCUUUAAGGAAAUAGUUGUUUUGGGGGUAAUAUUUGAACUUUUGUUGAUGGUAGAUCAUGACUGAAACGUCCCUUAAAAGGUUAAACGGUUCUUUUAUAGCAGUUGUGGGUCCCAGGGAUCUGCUUAAACUUAGAUUCUUGUGUUCUCAUUUCUUUUUGAAGGACAUCAGCAGCUCUAUGACCAAUAGCACAGCUGCCAGUAGACCCCCAGUAACCCUGAGGCUGGUGGUCCCUGCUAGUCAGUGUGGCUCUCUCAUUGGGAAAGGUGGUUGCAAGAUCAAGGAAAUACGAGAGGUUGGUGACUUUUGUCGUCUUGAAAAUAUUAAUUAUUCUAAAUGUGGCUCUCUCUGUUAAUAGCUCUUAGUAUGGCUUGGAAAAGUUAACGUUUGCAAUGAAGGUUGUUAUUAAAGUAGUAGUCCUAGAUGAUUAUGAUUUAAUUGUGUAUUGGGAAGAAAAGUAUUACACAGUUGACACGUGUAUAUAAAUAAUGUGUAGGAUGGUUUUUGUUUUUGUUUUUUGGUUUUGUUUUUACAAUUCAUAUAUCUUAACAGUAAGACAGAAGGUUAACCAGAAUUUCUGUUGCAUAUGAUCUGUUUCCAUUUUUCAUUUGGCAACUUUUCCAGGAGACUAUAUGCUUUUUUUGUGUGUCUGAAGAGAUUAGAGUUUGAUAUGGAAUGACAGCAAAUAUUUUCCUUGGCCAAACACCUAAAUAGCAAGGGGAAAACAGGAAAGUAUGUUAGGAUGUAGUUGUAAUCCUGCUCCCUUUUAGGCUGGAAUUUACAUUGAAUUACGGAAGCUUUUAAUAGUAUCUGGGAGUUACUAAAUUGGAUAUUGGAAUGAAAUUUGAAUGGCUUCUAAAGGAGUUUUUGGGAUCAUAUUGUGCAUGCCAGAAGAGCAGGGAUUUUGGUUUUGUUUGAUGUAUUCCAAGCAACCUGGAAUGGUGCCUGGUGCAUAGAAGGGGCGUUAUAUAAAUAUUUGUUUAAUAAAAGAAUGAAAAGUGGGUGAUAUUUGUGGGGACUUUGAUGGCUUACGAAGCUGUCAUUAGCUGAAAGAAAACUAUCUAGUAGGACCUUUUUCUUGAGAGCAGCUUAAAUUUAGGCUGUUACUGACUUCCAGAGGCUAAUUUAUUUAUAACUGUGAUUAAACAGUCCUAUCUGGAAUAAGGGAAGAGUGGGAAGGGAGGAUAAAAAGGGUAAAAUAGGAAAUGGGAUAAGUAUCGCUGCUGCAGAAUUACUGCUUGGGGAAUUGGAAGAGCAUGAAUCGUUUUUCUCUGAUUUUUAAAAAUUUUCUUUCUACCCCAAAGAGUACAGGGGCUCAGGUCCAGGUGGCAGGGGAUAUGCUCCCCAACUCAACUGAGCGGGCCAUCACUAUUGCUGGCAUUCCGCAAUCCAUCAUUGAGUGUGUGAAACAGAUCUGCGUGGUCAUGUUGGAGGUAAGCCCUCAGGCUCAUGCUGAGAAUGGGGGGAGGGUGAUUCUAGGGAGACAGACUGAUCUAUAUUUAGUAAGACUAGAAUUAGGUGAAGCUGUUAGAAGCCUCCAGUGGGGGUGGGGAAGAGGUUCCGUGAGUUCAUAUUUUCCUCACCCCCCCCCCCCCCCCUUUUCUUAUAGUCUGAGCAAAAAUAGAAACUGUUAAGCAGCCGUGAUCUUUUGGUUUACAGCAAUUCUAGCAGGGUUGGUAGGGGAAGAUUCACUACUUGGUCUGAGUGGACAAAAUAUGUAACUCGGUUCCAGAGAGACUGAGUUAAGUUGCCUUUUGGAUUACAGUAUUUUGGCUAUGUGCAACUUUGACGUAUUCUUCAAAUUAAUUUCCAUGUUUUAAGACAGGAUUAUAUUCAAAAUAUUUCUAUAUGAAAAAAAACUUACCUGUGAUGGUGUUUAUGAAUAACUUGUGAGGUCCUGGUAGUAUAUGCUAUCCAGUUAAAACAAGAAUAGCAAAAUUAGGGGAAAAUAAAACAUUUAGAACUGCCAUUGAGAUGUUCCUAUAUUCGUGAGAAAAGAAUUUUCAAGUAGAAUUUAGGAAAAUGUUGAUUGAGCCUUUGAACUACUUACCGUGUAUAUUUCUCCAGGCAUAAUAUUUGUGUACUUUAUUUCAUUUCCUGUUUAGGCCAAAAUGUAAGAUCCUAAAUUACCAACUUCAUAUAUACACAUAGAGGUUUGUCAUGUUCAUUAGUUUUAUUUGAAAACAUGGAAAUAAUGCGUAAAUUAUUACAGGGGAAUCUGCCUUGAUGAGAAUUAGUGUGAGCUGUGUAGUCCACGGACCCAUCUUACUGCUUUAAAGGCAAAUAACUGCAGAUGAUUUGAGAUUAGAUCUAGCCAGAGACAACGUUGGUAGGUGAGGGGAUGGAAAUUAAUACAGUUUUUAAUAUAACUGACCUGUGUGAGCUUAAGCCACACAGCUGAAGCAGCUUUGAAACCUUAUCUCUUUUUGUUUUUUUCCCCUCUGACUCUCUCCCAGUCCCCCCCGAAGGGCGUGACCAUCCCGUACCGGCCCAAGCCGUCCAGUUCUCCAGUCAUCUUUGCAGGUGGUCAGGUAAGAAAAUUCUUAUUGGUGGGCUACAAUGAACAAGGAUUAUAUUUGAAAUGUAAACUUUGCCAGCAGCGCACCAGGCCACUCUGCAUGCUUGCUGAAACCUAUACUCUGGCCAUAGUUUGACCUGCUUUUAGUUUUAUUUUUUGUACUGGAGAAAGCUCUGAAUGCCAAGCUCUUAAUUUUUAGCAGGCAAUGGGAGUUUUGUAGGCACUCGGAAGAGGUAAUUUACUUGGUAAUUUAAGGUGGGUUGGGUUAGAAGAAAGGGUUAAAUUGCCUUGGUGUCACUACUUCUCUCCCUUCCCCCCCACCCCAUCCAUGCUUUUUAACGUGUGGGGUGUUCUUUAGAGGUCUGAAUAAAAGUAGCAAAGAAUUGGACCUCUGAAGGAGAUUCUGGAUGGUGGUCUCAAAAUUGGGGGGUUCCUAAACUUGAGUGUCCUACAAACUUCCCCUCCCCCCCCACCUCACCUCCCCUACUCCUACCCCUUCACUCCCAAACUCCAGUGUGUUGUUCCCCCAGACUCUUAACCUCAUAAGCUGGUUUGAACCCACAUGGCAUAACUGAAACCAGCCCGGGGUAAGGGUUCAGUGUGCAAGAAUAGAAGGGGGAGAGCAUGUUGGGCUGUGGUGCUAUGACCUUUGGUGUUAGAGUAAGAACACCAAAGCACCCCCUUGGCCUCUUUCUACUUCACCCACCUAAACUCUUGAUCUUUGGCAUAUGGUUUAUUCUGAAGUUAGAUUUUUAUGAGAAGAGCACGGGUUAGACCCAUGGUAGUUUUAUGCUUUGUUGUUAGUAUCUGAGGAGUAGGUAGGUCAGUUUUUUAAAUGUUGGGGUUCAGGUUGAAAUAGUGACCUUCAAUUUGGUGGCUGCCUAAGCAAGCAAGUACAUUGUUCAAAAUGCCUUUUCCCAAUGAGGGGCUGGCCUGUUACAAGCACACUUAAUUAGUUCCAUCUUGUGUUUGAAUUGGGGGAAGCCUAAACGAAGUCCAUCCCAUUCACAUUCUAUUUUGAGUUGGCAUAAAACUGAACAAGAAUUUGGGGACUUAGUUUGUCAUGUGCUUCUGGGAGCUUUCACAAGAAAUUAAUCAUGUCACAGUAUUACCUUGAGACAGUUUAGUACCUUGCUUUAUAGAAACUGGAUUGGUCAAAGGGUUCCGAUAGUCUGGAUAGUCAGGCAGGAUAAACAAAGGCCCAGAGUCAGUAUAGUAUAGCAAGGAGGCUUAGCCUUAGGAGUUUUCCCUUCUCCCCAGGAACUCCAUGUUCCUGCUCUUCUGGAUUCUUCCACUCCCAUUUGGGAUUGUAAAGAGUCCCAUGCUGCAUAGCAGCAAUUCUCUCUAUAAUUCUUCAUUUCCCUUUCCUUUCCUCCUCUUUCCACCUCCCCCUUCUUACCUCUUUGCUUCCCCCCACCCUCCCCCACCCUUUAUUCAGUUGACCACCCUCUAAAGGCUUGCAGCUUCUUUCAUGAGUGGCCCUUAUUAUUCCCACGGGCCUUUUUAAAUGGACCCAUUUAUGCAACGUCCACAGAUGGACCUGUAUCUUUUGUUCCUUUGUGACAAAAGUGGGCUCUAUAGGGGUUCAACUUAAUCCCACAGUGACCAGUAGCUGGCAUCAGCUCUGUUGCCCCACCCCUUCAUUCUUACUGAAAAUAGCCCAAUUGUGCAGUGUGAUACCUGCCACAAGGUAACUUUUUUUUUUUAAAUUCACUGAUUGCAGCUCGUUUCAAAUUGUGUCGUGAGCUCCUUUUUAAAGGAAAAGAAAAAAUUAAACAACUUUUUUUGUGUGAAUUUCAUGCUGGUGACAAGGUGCCGGAUUGACAGCCCUGGAGACUGAAAUCCUCUAUUUAUCCACAGGACAGGUACAGCACAGGCAGCGACAGUGCGAGCUUUCCCCACACCACCCCGUCCAUGUGCCUCAACCCUGACCUGGAGGGACCACCUCUAGAGG